ACUACCUUAUUAGAUCAAACCAUAUGAAAUUGCCAUUAUUUGGUAAAAUCAGUUAAGUAUCAACAGUUUCAUAUAGUUCAAACUCAAGAGUAAAAAAUUAUAACAGUUUUUAAUCACUAAAUGUAUAAUCUUUUUCAAAUAGAUUGGCAGGCCUUUGAAUUAUAAACUCAAAGGUAAUAGUGAUGUCACAAGGGAGAUAUGCAUACAGAGAUAGUGAUCGCUUCUCUAAUUUGAAAAGGAGUUCUUCAAGUCUAGAAAGUUGUUAUCCAUUGAUAUAAAUGGCCAAGUAAAAAAAGCACUUAAAAAAGCCCUUGACAGUCACUGAUAUAUUCUUUCCAAACUCUUUUUCACAAUAAAUCUGUAGAAAUUCACUGAGUUAUACAUGGCAUAACCUUGAUAUCCUGCUCAUCCCACUAAUUAAAACUCCAGAAAAAUAAAAAGGAAGAAUUCCUUAAGAAGCUAAAUUAUAGGGUUAAGUUCAUAAAAAUACUAACUAAGAAAUUAUAUUUCACCUGUCUACCAAGUUACUUUUCAAUUGCCACAACAAAAGUUGGUUUUGAAUUUCUUUAGGCUUUGGCCUCUUAACUCCAGAACAUCUUUCAUCUCUAUUAUUUCCAUUGCACUGCUACUGUCUCAGGUCAUCAUUUUUAAUACUGAUGAAUAAAAUAAUCUACCUACGGAUAUUGCUACAUCAGUUUGUCCUUCAACUCAUGUUUCACACUGGUGAUUGUAAAUCUAACAAAAUAGCAAUCUGAGCACAUUUCCCCUAUUUAAAAUUCUUUAAUUUUCAUCACCAACUGAAAAAAAACGAAACACUAAAGUUACUACCAUCCUAUGAACCUUCCAAAACUGGCUGUAAUCUCUGUCUCAGGCCUAAUAUCAUAAAAUUUCAUUGUAUCCUCUUUUGGUAAAACAUACCUUGCUUUUUCGUGUCUUCUUGAAAAAAAAAUUGCUCUAUUCACAAUUUGUAAUGUCCUUACUAUAGCAAAAACAAUUUACUCUUCUUGAUUCCUGAGACUACUGUUUAUACACUUCAUCAGUUUCCUGAGUAUUGGAGGAUCAACAGCAGCAUUCUCCAUUUAUACUCUCUUAUGUGUAAGAUGCUAUAUUUAUUCAAAUAUUCAUAGAAUAGGAAUUAUUCUAGGAGGAACAACUGUGCUCCAUUGACGUCUAAUAGUAAUACUAAUAUUAUAAUCAUACCUUAUUCCAUUUCUUUGAUUAAAUACUGGUAUCAUUGAGGCUGGGUGUUCUGACAUUAAAGCCACCAGUAACUGUAGCACAUCAUGAAUAUUUUCAUCCUGCAUAAAUCACCAAUAUUGAUUUAAAUUUUACUCUAAAGAUUGGCUUAAAUAAUUAAAAUAAAAGGUCCAUAACAUGUCCUACCUCAUGUAUUGUAAGAAGGUAAUUUAAUAUACUCUGAAGUUCAUCUUCUUUGACCCUUUGAUCUUAAUUUUUAAAAAAUAUUUUAUUAUUUUACAUCUAAAAUUAAAAUUUUAAUUUAAAAGACAUCAAAAUAAUCAUUUUAAAAGAAAAUAAGAGUAAGUUUAAUGUAGUGAUAUUUGAAUUAAAAUCCCCACACAUUUCACAAUUUAUAGACUAUAUUAUUUCAAGUUAAUUAAGUAAAUAUUUAGAAAAUCUUAUCAAUUUUUAAGUCAUUAAUAUUUGAUUGACAUUCACUAUAAAAAGUUAGCCUAUUUUGACCAUCGAAGUAUUCUUAUGACUAUUUUCUAAUCAUUCUUUCUUGAAUACAAGUGCAAGACUAUACAGUAUCAAUUUUUGUGUAUUACCUCAAAAUUUAUAUUUAUUUUCACUUUGUUUUCAUCUUAACAUUUAAAAAAUCCUACUACAAUAAAAUACAUUAUGUAAGCCUUCUUAAACUGGCACACAGACCAUUUUCUAGAAUAAUGGUCAAUUACUAUAAGAAUAAGGGCUCAAUUCUUAUUCAUAUGUUCCUUGUCCAUUUCUGUCACAUCCCUUAAUAGGGAAGAUUUCAGAGAGCAUUUAACCAGAAGUUAGUUAAGUUCAAUAAAGUUAAUAUUAAGAUGUGCAGAAUUUUGGAAGCAAUUCAUUAAUUAAAGGUAGCUAUUACUAAUUUAACAAUAAUAAUUUUAAAACAUGCCAGAAAUUCCUUUCUACCUAUAUACUGUAAUUCUAAAUUAUAUAAAAUUAUUUUACUUUUAGUAUGAGCUGUUUCAGAAAAAGUAGCAUAAAUGCCCUCAGUGAUAUAAUUUCUUUUUGUGAUGGCUGGGGACCAUCAAGAACAAAACAGAAAAAAAAGUAAAAAUAAAAAAUACAAGAUAUUAAAUAAGCUUAAUGCAGUUAUGUUGGGAUACUAUGGCAUUCUUGAAUAAUUAUAUUUAUUAAAAUUACAAUAUUUACAUUAAUGCUAUAAAAUUUUAAUAAUAUAUGGGUAUCCAAAAAUUAACUUUCAAAUUUUUGGCAAUUUCAAAUUAUUUACUCAAUGUCUGAUUUUGUGGAAAAAAGAACUUUUAAAAAAGUUGUAAUAUAUUAGUAUCCAUUUAUAAAUGUAUAAUCCCCAAGUAUUUACAUUAAUACUUGAAUACUUUUUUCUGUUUUUAUUACAUUAAUAGGUUUCCCAAUAUGUCUUCCAUUCUCAAUUAAACUUGUCUUCAUUUAAGGACUGUCUCCAUUUUCACCCCACACAUUAUUUAAUAAAGCUCAGAAAAAGUGACACUGUUUUAUUUUAAUUAUUUGUUUUGCAGCCUAUUUCUUCUAUGGCACUUGUAUAAAGAAAAUACAUAUUAUGGUGGGCAUUUAAUAAAUGCUGUGUCAAUAAGUGAAAAUGAGCAUAAAAUAUUCAAAUGUACAUAUCAGUUCUAUCAUAAUGUACAAAUUUUAAAGUAAUUUCAAAAUAUCUAAUUACUAAUAAAAUGAAAAUAUAAAAUAAUAUAUAAUAUGCGUAAUAUACAAUAAAGUAUACUUUUAAGAAAUGUAGCUAGAUUCAUAAAAAUCCUUUAACAUUAAGCCUUUCUUGUAGCAACCAGUAUUUAUCUACUGCUUUACAAGUUUUAAAAGCAUAAUCCCUUCAUGUAUAAUCUAUACCAUCUGCUUAUUCACUUAAUAUUUACAUGAAGAUUAUUACAUCUGCAAGCAAGUUAUUAUCCAAAAAAUCCAUCCUGCCUAUUAUAAUAAAAGAAAUAUUUUCCCUAUUUCCCAGACUGCUCUCCACCUUUUAUUGCCCCACUCCCACUAAGAUGCACAGAGUACUCUUCCCCUCCUACUGACACUGGGUAUUACUUAAAAAAAACUUUUCAUUGUAAAAUAUUGCCUAUGUACAGAAAACAUACAUGAUCAACUUAAUGAAUUAUCAUAAAAUGAACACCUGUAUAAACAGUUCUUUGACCAAGAAAUUGAACACUGACAGUAGCCUGACAGGGAAACCUGUCAACUAUUGGUGUGCUGGUAAAAGAAUUAUCUGCAGAGUGGAGGGAUGAGGUCCUGAUUUUGAGCAUUUACGUAUUUCUGAUUUCUAUCAUAUUAAUAAUAAUCUGAUUUCAAGUUCAAGUUACCAAUGGUUUAACAACCAGCUCAUAAAAUUCCUGAAUAUCUAACAACUGAUUGUGUCCCCAUCCUGCCCUGCAUGCCAAAGCCCUCACCAUGCUCCAGACCUCAGCUCUGUGCCACAUUCCUGUUCCUGAUCACAUCCCCACUCCAUCCAAGAAAAGACAGAUUCUGUCUUAGUAAUAAUUUCCUUAAUCUUACUAUUUCUGCCACCACUUAAUAAAAUUGGACAAGUUUUAUAACAUCUCUGUACCUAAGAUUUGUUUUCUUCUUUAUUGUUAGGGUAAGAAUAAUAAUACUGCUUGUCAUAGGAUGUCUUGUGAGGAUUAAAUGGAUCAGCGUAUGUAAAGAAAUUAGACUAGUACCAGGCCCAUUUUAAUCAUAAUCACUCAAAUGUUAGCAAUAAUUACUUUUAUUGUAUACUGCACAAUACAAACAGCAUGUUGCAAAGAAAUAUAUAUAUUUGUGUGCUUUGUGUAUGAUAUAAAUCCAUUUCUGCAAAAUAAAAUACAAACCGAUUUAUCUAACAAAUAUGAAACUCAAUGAAAAAACAAAUCCCAAAAUAAUACUAUUUAUGUAAAAUAUAGAAGCUAAACAAUAAAUUAAUAAUACAUACAUAAAUAGCAAAAGAGUAAAGCAUAGUAAAAAAUAAUAAGCACCCAAGUAAAGAAAAGAAAUAACGUAAAAUU
rnacentral:lncRNA from 10 species